ensembl:lncRNA
AUGAGGAUGAAACGGUACUUCAAGCCUCAACAGACUGGUCGACCCGAAAGAGCCUCAUAUCAGGGUGGUGGGAGAAAGAGAGACCCCCGACUGGUCAACACCAUGGUGGCUGGACAACAUGCGGCAACUCGGAUCUGCCAACAUUGUGGAAAUGGUCCAGCCGUAAUCCGUUGUUGUGACUGCCGACCACACCCAUUCCUCUGUGGCCAGUGUGAUGUCAGGGUCCACCGAGGUCAAGUGUUCCACAACAGGGAUUCGAUGACACAUGCAUUCUUUCAUCCAUUGCCUCCCACAACUUGUGUUGUGGAGAGGGUUCUAACCCAGUGUGAGCGUCUUGUACCUUUGGAGAUGCCAGAGACAAUAUGCGGUUGUCUACGAGUAUCGUCCAGUGUCAUCGCAGGACAGUCCAUAGUUGUGGUUACAAUGAAUGGGCGAUAUGAUCUCAGAUUGCCUCAGAUUAGAUGCAAAGCAUGUGAAGCCACUUGGAGUCCUGGAGUGGAUGACCUGAUCCGUAAUGACUACUGGCCUGCCACUUCUCACUAUUCAACUGUGUAUGCAACAGAUGUCCUUUUUUCUUUUGAAGAGCUGAAGAUGGCAGCACCAGGGAUGUCUAGCCAAGCAUUUCUUAGAAUGCUGGAUCAACGCACUGUUCGAUUUGGCCGUAGUGGAAACAUCACAGCAGACAGCUUCCGGAAAAAGCUUCUUGGAGUGGGAAGCUGUCCGAUUCGAAGUGGACAAAUUAUGCCAGGAGGACCACUUUGACUGCCCAGCGUGCAGCCCAGACAUGCUUGCAGUAUCCGUUGAUGGAAACCGUAAGCACUACAGAUUCAAGAGUGCAGCAAGGUACUGUGUGUGCAUUGACGGUCCAUUACUUUGAAAGUAACUGCUGUGAAUUGAAAAUCAUAUGAAUAUUUAAAGUUAAUAUGUAUCUCUUUUAUUUAGAUCGGAGGAAAAAGCCAUCUUUGAUGGCGUGUUCAUCGCAAAUGAUGAUGAUGUCGCAAGAUUCGUGGACUAUGUCCAUACCUCAACCAGUCAUGUAAACUUGCACAACUUCUCUAUAUUUACCUAUAAAAACACCACGUCCUACAGAGGACUUAGUUUGAACAAGUUUGGAAUGUUAAACAUCUUCCAUGUUUUAGGUCUCUGGAAGAGGUGUCUGUGGAGGGCAAUGGUCAGCGGCGCGUGAAACUUCUCAGAAGUCCUCAGGAAAAAAACAGACGAGGAGGGCCUGGAACUCGCUGUAUGUCGUCAUGGGGUUCUCCUUCGUGCCCUCAAUAUGUUCAGGGGGAGAUUUUUUUGCCUACCCCCUGUACCUCCAAAAAGCAAAUGGCCUGUAAGCCAGUUAAAUUUUUUGCAAUGGAUGUGGCAUGCAAGUACUGGCCUUACCUCCAGAGAGUGACAGAGAAAUGCCCUGAGCUUGAGGAUCUCCUCACCAUGAGGCCAUUUCUUUCUGUUUUUCAUGCCAAAGCUCAUGAUUUCAAAUGUGAGGUAAGAAAAAAAUGAUUGUCCAUGAUAUUUUCUUUCCCUAAAAAUCCUGCAUAAGAUUGUUGCCACUUAGGUUUUGUUUUUUUUGUUUUCUUUUUUUAAAGGUAAAAUGGAGUGGAGCAUAUCAGGAGGGGGCUGGUUCGACUCUUGGGGAAGAGGUGGAGCAGUGCAACGCCUUCCUCUCGAGGAUUGCUGUUACGACAAAGCACAUGUCAAAAAGCAGGUAAGGUAACCAGUAAAUUUUGAUCCUGAUGACAUGGGUGAGCCACUUAUGCAUAUAUGCUGACUCUGAAAAAUAUAAAGAUCAGAAUAUAUU